CAUUCUCAGUUCGGAUUGUAGGCUGAAACUCGCCUACAUGAAGCUGGAGUUACUAGUAAUCGCAGAUCAGAAUGCUGCGGUGAAUGCGUUCCCGGGUCUUGUACACACCGCCCGUCACACCACGGAAGUUGGGGGCGCCCGAAGCCACUUAGCUAACCCUUUUGGGAAGCGAGUGUCGAAGGUGAAAUCAAUAACUGGGGUGAAGUCGUAACAAGGUAUC
rnacentral:rRNA from 1 species